rnacentral:rRNA from 1 species
UGCGUAGGUGGCUAGGUAAGUCGGAUGUGAAAUCCCGGGGCUCAACCCCGGAACUGCAUUCGAUACUGCUUGGCUAGAGUACUGGAGAGGAGAUUGGAAUUUACGGUGUAGCAGUGAAAUGCGUAGAUAUCGUAAGGAAGACCAGUGGCGAAGGCGGAUCUCUGGACAGUUACUGACACUGAGGCACGAAGGCCAGGGGGAGCAAACG